CGGUGCUGCUUGAUGCAUCUGGUUGCAUGAUUAAGCUUAUCAGUAGCAUUUUUUUGAUUGCAGAGAAAAUGAUCACUAGAAGGCUCAGAUCGUUCAGGUUCCCUCCUUUCAGGAUUGUUGGUGGAGCUCAUUGUGUUUGUGAAGGUACCUAAUAUUGUUGAUGAUCCAAACCCUCCCCUGCCCCAUCUACUACGUCUUCGACAGUUAACACAAGGUUGCUUUCAUAUUUUGUUCCGAGCUUAUUUGAUCGUUUGGUUGACAGAACAUAAAAAAAAACGGACCUAAGUUGGUUGGUGAGCUAACUCAAGUAAUAACUUGCAAUUUCUAUUUGUCCUUGUGUCGACCACUGCUGUAGAUGUAUUUAUCUUGCUGUUAGUCCCUACUCUAUAUAGCCCCUACUGGAGCACCAUUAGAAGUAGCAACGACAGGCAACAACAUCUGUGCUUCCAUCGUCCAGCUGGUACGGCUUCCUUGCCUUCGCCCCAUGCUUUUCCAUCCCUACCAGUAGGAGCACAGCAGAAAUGUGAUGAUAGCCCCCGCCAACCAUGGCCAGAAAGUAGAUAUGCUACCCCCUCAAAUGUCUCCUUACUGUAAUUAGUUUAAAUGUUGUUGCUUACAACCUCCUCAAACCACACUCAGAAAGUACAAGCUAUGCCACUCUGUCAAAUGCUUCCUUAAUGUAAUUAGUUUAAGUGUUGUGGUGCAUUUGGUGCUGAUAAUAUGUAGGAUAACGUAUCCAACAUACUUAAUCUUCCAGAUUGUUGGAUGCACUAUUUGUUUGGAGACGCUACCAAUGCUGUUGUGAAAUUUUAUUACAUGAGAAAAUAUAAGAUUUCAUUGUUGGGGAUUUGCAACAGAUAUUGUUCCUGAGCAUCAAUACUACUUUUGUUUAUCGCUGCAUACUCAUAUACUAUUUUCAGUACUUCAGGUCUUACUUGACAAUACAGAUUUAGAUUUUGAGCACCAGAGAUUACUGAGCCGUCCUUACAAAGAAGAGACACUCCCUUUUUUUGACGGAAAGGGCCACUCCCUUUCCUAGAACAACAUAUUUAACCAUUUUGUUUCAAUACGCGCUAUGCCAUGCUACUGUCAUAUCCCGGAAUUGUCUUAGAUAUAAUGAACUCGAGAAAAUAGUCGCAUUUGAUCAACCGUAUUUACAUGUUGUUUGUAUCAGUAUUGUAAAUAUCAGACUCUCAACUAGAAUAUCUGAGUAGUAUCUGAUGAAAUCUCAUAUCACCUUUGUUUCGAUCUAAAUAUUAUUUAUCUGUCCUAAAAUCUAGGGAGUGCACUGAGUUAGAAAAUAUGCAGAUACAUGUCAUGUUUAAAUUUCUUAUUCAUGUUGCUAUUUGAGUCAGUUUGCUGCCAGGAUAAUGUCAGCAUUAGCAUCCAUGUAUAUGAAUUCUCCAGGGUCAUAAUCUGAAUAAUUAUGCUAGGAAAAUUGAGUGAAGGUUUUCUGCAAAUCUUUACUCCUGGAAAGCUAGGAACUAGGGAACACAAAUGUUCUCGCUUUGAGAAAGUAUGACAUCGGGUCUAGAAUCUGUCAUAUUAUGAAGGUUGGCCACCCGCAUUUGUUGAGCUCAUCUCUCAGUUGACGUGUUUGACGAGAAAGAUGAGAAAGUUGCUAUUAUCUCUACAAAUGUAAUUAAUCCUGCCAUAUUCGAUCAAGCUCUGAGAAUUUUUAUUCCACAUGUACCGGCUGGAACAUCUGCUUGGCCAAGGUAAGUGUUGUUGAGGAUUUGCCAGGUCAUUAGUUUUGAUCUAAAAUCUAUUAAAUAUGAGUGUUAAUUGUUUGGGGUGUGCUUGGUUUGUAAUUUGGUGGCUGUUGAUGGUGUUUUUUUUGCCUGAAAUUUCUGCUUCUUGCUUGCAGCUUUGGUUUUGGGGACUGUUAUUUGGCAUCACUAUUUAGCCUAUAGCAAUCUGAAACACCACAUUCCUAGAUGAUUUUUCCUGCUCCCAUUCUGGCCUCCG